UACGUAGGGUGCGAGCGUUAAUCGGAAUUACUGGGCGUAAAGCGUGCGCAGGCGGUUUUGUAAGCCAGAUGUGAAAUCCCCGGGCUUAACCUGGGAAUGGCAUUUGGGACUGCAAGGCUUGAGUGCGGCAGAGGAGACUGGAAUUCCUGGUGUAGCAGUGAAAUGCGUAGAUAUCAGGAGGAAUACCGAUGGCGAAGGCAGGUCUCUGGGCUGACACU
rnacentral:rRNA from 1 species